rnacentral:rRNA from 1 species
AGUGAACGCUGGCGGUAGGCCUGACACAUGCAAGUCGAACGGCAGCACAGUAAGAGCUUGCUCUUACGGGUGGCGAGUGGCGGACGGGUGAGGAAUACAUCGGAAUCUACUUUUUCGUGGGGGAUAACGUAGGGAAACUUACGCUAAUACCGCAUACGACCUACGGGUGAAAGCAGGGGAUCUUCGGACCUUGCGCGAUUGAAUGAGCCGAUGUCGGAUUAGCUAGUUGGCGGGGUAAAGGCCCACCAAGGCGACGAUCCGUAGCUGGUCUGAGAGGAUGAUCAGCCACACUGGAACUGAGACACGGUCCAGACUCCUACGGGAGGCAGCAGUGGGGAAUAUUGGACAAUGGGCGCAAGCCUGAUCCAGCCAUACCGCGUGGGUGAAGAAGGCCUUCGGGUUGUAAAGCCCUUUUGUUGGGAAAGAAAAGCAGCAGGUUAAUACCCCGCUGUUCUGUCGGUACCCAAAGAAUAAGCACCGGCUAACUUCGUG